AUUUAAAAAAAAAACCAAAAGCUCUCCCUUUUCUCUACACCAGGCCCUAAGGUCGGCCAAUGGUCCGGACCACCGUGAUGGCCACCAGCAACGGUGACAGCGCCCCCAUCCACGAUGGCGUGAGAGAGAAAGAGGCAUUUUUUUCCGAAUAGAAACCUAGGUUUGGGCUCUAAAGCCCUAUAAAAUCUAACCUGUGUUCAUCCCGGGGAAGAAAUCGAAAGGUUUAGCCUUUCGCCGAUGGGGCAUUCGGCGGAACCCUAAUGGGUUUCCAGGUCCCUCAAAUUGAUGGAAAGGACCACACGGCGUCGACAAUAUCUUCAGCGUUGACGGAGGCGGAGAAGGGAUUUUUCCAUUUCGGUGCAAGCUUGCAGACGAACCUCAAGACGAGGUGUGGGUGAUUUGGCAAAGGAGAAACGGAAAAUUUUUUAAAGUUUUGGGCCAAUUGGACUGUGUAAUUUUGUUGGGCUCUUUUAUACUUGGGCUUGUAUUUGUAAAUUGGGUUUGGCAUAGGUUGUAAAUGGACUGGACUUUAAUGGAUUUUAUCAUUUA